UUUGGAAAGCAUAAAUGCUCAUAUAAAAACUUUUAUCAAGCACGAAGCAAUACUUUCAAGAAUGGCAUCACUUAAAAUUGGUUACUUUUUUACUAUUCUUCUCGUAGCAGCCACAAUCAAUUCGACGUGGCUCUCAAAGAAGCAAGUUUUUGCUGGACCAGUUGUUGAUCAUGAUUUCUCAGGACUCAAGAGGAGAUUACUCCCACAACUUAAUGAUCUUCUCACUUGUAAGAGAUCUUGCACUACUAGUGAGGAUUGCAACGAUUGCUGGGUUUGUUGUUACUGUUAUGAACUUACUAAUGCGAUUAGUACGCUCAAAGUUUGUACCAGCUACUCCAGAACAUGAAUCUUAUAUGUAUUUAUUCAAAGAACAUUGCGACAAAUCUUUGUUAUGAAUUGUCUUUCCAUGUGUUGUUAGUGUUUCCUUUGGGUAUAUUUUGUACGAAGGUAAUAUUUUCCACGAAAAAUAUUUUUCCGAAAAAUAUUUUCUCGAAAAUAAAUGAUUUGCUUAAAGAUA